rnacentral:rRNA from 1 species
AACGUAGGAGACGAACGUUAUCCGGAGUUACUGGGCGUAAAGGGCGUGUAGGCGGUUUGUUAAGUCUGGCGUGAAAGCUCUCGGCUAAACCGGGAGAGGUCGUUGGAUACUGGCGAACUAGAGGAUGGUAGAGGCGUGUGGAAUUCCGGGUGUAGUGGUGAAAUGCGUAGAGAUCCGGAGGAACACCAGUGGCGAAGGCCGACACGCUGGGCCAUACCU